GAAAAGAUGAAUUAAAUCAACAAAAUAUUUGACUGGAAUUCAAAAGAUAACAUUAUACACCAUUUCUUUUCA
rnacentral:tRNA from 1 species